GAUGAACGCUGGCGGCGUGCCUAAUACAUGCAAGUCGAGCGAACAGACGAGGAGCUUGCUCCUCUGACGUUAGCGGCGGACGGGUGAGUAACACGUGGAUAACCUACCUAUAAGACUGGGAUAACUUCGGGAAACCGGAGCUAAUACCGGAUAAUAUAUUGAACCGCAUGGUUCAAUAGUGAAAGACGGUUUUGCUGUCACUUAUAGAUGGAUCCGCGCCGCAUUAGCUAGUUGGUAAGGUAACGGCUUACCAAGGCAACGAUGCGUAGCCGACCUGAGAGGGUGGUCGGCCACACUGGAACUGAAACACGGUCCAGACUCCUACGGGAGGCAGCAGUAGGGAAUCUUCCGCAAUGGGCGAAAGCCUGACGGAGCAACGCCGCGUGAGUGAUGAAGGUCUUCGGAUCGUAAAACUCUGUUAUUAGGGAAGAACAAAUGUGUAAGUAACUAUGCACGUCUUGACGGUACCUAAUCAGAAAGCCACGGCUAACUACGUG
rnacentral:rRNA from 1 species